UACGUAGGGCGCAAGCGUUGUCCGGAAUUAUUGGGCGUAAAGAGCUCGUAGGUGGCUUGUCACGUCGGGUGUGAAAGCUUGGAGCUUAACUCCAGGUCUGCAUUCGAUACGGGCUGGCUAGAGGUAGGUAGGGGAGAACGGAAUUCCUGGUGUAGCGGUGAAAUGCGCAGAUAUCAGGAGGAACACCGGUGGCGAAGGCGGUUCUCUGGGCCUUACCUGACGCUGAGGAGCGAAAGCGUGGGGAGCGAACAGG
rnacentral:rRNA from 1 species